GACGAACGCUGGCGGCGUGCUUAACACAUGCAAGUCGAGCGGUAAGGCCCUUCGGGGUACACGAGCGGCGAACGGGUGAGUAACACGUGGGUGAUCUGCCUCGCACUUCGGGAUAAGCCUGGGAAACUGGGUCUAAUACCGGAUAUGACUUCUGGUCGCAUGGCUGGGGGUGGAAAGAUUUAUCGGUGCGAGAUGGGCCCGCGGCCUAUCAGCUUGUUGGUGGGGUAAUGGCCUACCAAGGCGACGACGGGUAGCCGGCCUGAGAGGGCGACCGGCCACACUGGGACUGAGACACGGCCCAGACUCCUACGGGAGGCAGCAGUGGGGAAUAUUGCACAAUGGGCGAAAGCCUGAUGCAGCGACGCCGCGUGAGGGAUGACGGCCUUCGGGUUGUAAACCUCUUUCGACAGGGACGAAGCGCAAGUGACGGUACCUGUAGAAGAAGCACCGGCCAACUACGUGCCAGCAGCCGC
rnacentral:rRNA from 1 species